rnacentral:rRNA from 1 species
CGGCCACGGUACCCUAACCGUGCGAAGGUAGCAUAAUCACUUGUUCUUUAAAUGGGGACUUGUAUCAACGGCACCACGAGGGCUCUACUGUCUCCUUUCUCUAAUCAGUGAAACUAAUCUCCCCGUGAAGAAGCGGGGAUACCACCAUAAGACGAGAAGACCCCAUGGAGCUUUAAACCCAACUACACCCCCACUUUCCAUACCCACUCAACCAACAGGGCCCUGUACACUUGGUUUUAGGUUGGGGUGACCGCGGAGCAAAAUCAAACCUCCACAAUGAACGAGAAUAAUCUCUUAUCUAAGAGCCACACCUCUAAGAAUUAGCACACUAACAUAAAAUGAUCCGAUAAUCGAUCAACGAACCAAGUUACCCUGGGG